GACGAACGCUGGCGGCGUGGAUUAGGCAUGCAAGUCGAACGGUAUCAUCCUUUCGGGGGUGAGAGAGUGGCGAACUGGUGAGUAACACGUAGGUUAUCUACCCUCAAGACGGGGACAACCCAGGGAAACUUGGGCUAAUACCGGAUGUGAGCAACUUUUAGUUGUUUGAAAGGCGGCGUAAGCUGUCGCUUGGGGAUGAGCCUGCGUCCUAUUAGUUAGUUGGUGAGGUAACGGCUCACCUAGGCAAUGAUAGGUAGGCGGCCUUAACGGGUGGUCGCCCACACUGGGAUUGAGAUACGGCCCAGACUCCUACGGGAGGCAGCAGUCGAGAAUAGUCUACAAUGGUCGGAAGACUGAUAGUGCGACGCCGCGUGAACGAUGAAUCCCUUCGGGGUGUAAAGUUCUUUUAUAUGUGAGCAGUGCUUCUUAUAUUAACAGUAUGGGGAGAGAGAUAUUAGCAUAUGAAUAAGCAACGGCUAACUCCGUGCCAGCAGCCGCGGUAAUACG
rnacentral:rRNA from 1 species